CCCAAGAACUCCAGGCUACCGAUUGAAAUUUUGACGCGGCAGUUUAAACUAUAGGGGACGCGUUGACUCGAAAAAAAGGAAGAAGGAAAAGGAAAGAAGCGAAAGAAAAAAACGGAGGAAAGAAGAAGGAAGGAUAUAUAUUUGGUGCUUAUUCAGGACAAAAUUGACUUAAACUGCAUAUUCAAUGCUUUAAAAUUUAGAACAUUAUUUGGAAAGCCCACAGGGUCCCCUUCCGCCCCCUCCAAUCGUUCAAAGUGUCUGGAUCCGCAUCCGCCUAUGCGAAUGAAUAUCUAGUGCUGGGCCCAGUAUGUUUCUUUGCCUACCUCCCAAACUGAAGGCGAAGCAUAUAAAACGUAAGCUUAGCAGUUUCUUUUUUCGUAGUGAUCCCAUCACUAUAAUGCGACGUCUGACGACAUUCGCUCUGAUUUCAAAGAGCAAUAUCUCUGUUUAUAGUUCAGUAGAGCUUAUUAUUUUUGGGUAAAUCUCUAUCAAAUUCCAUUUAACGCUAAACGCUAACGCUUUAACGCUUCCAAAACGCUAUUCUGUGACCGUCUCAUGCGCACAGCUGACUCAUUAGCCAAUUGCAUGAUUGUUCCACUUUUUGGUCAAAUGAGCGAAAUCACUGGAGAGCUUAUCUCGGAAUUUCAAUUGUUCUGUGACUCAUACUUUUUGACCGUCCAAAUCAGCUGGAAGAGCAUCGUAGGUCUUAUUUCCCUUUAAAAAUCUACAAAACCAUUCGGAAUUCAAACCGUCUCUAUAGAAUACUUGAAUCAGUCGUGAAUGUUGUGAUAAGGUGAAAAUGGGCAGGAUCAAGAUACAAUCGAUAGUUUAGCUCGAGCCUCAGUACUGAUUGCUUCUGAUUACAUUAGGAGCCUUAGCAAAGAUGAGUAAUCUAACAAUCAGCGAUACUCAGAGGUGUCAAGCCACAGCCAUCCUCGGCGAGAAGAUCAGCUUUGUGAGCCAGAAGAAGCAUAAUGUUGUCGAUGAAUCCAUAUUCAGCACACAAAUGAAGAGGAGUCGGAAAAAAAAUCAAGCAGGGCUGAUGAGAGGUGUAGUUCAUUAGUCUCUGAAAGAUGAAGAUAAAAAGUAGGUAUGUAGCUUUGAAGAAGCUUUGAGAAGCUAAGCUUACCUUUGGACCUAUGAUACGUCUUUAUUGCAUGCUGACAUAAUUAUUAAGUUGGGUUCUCCCAAUUCACUCAAGAGAGUGACCAAGCAAUUUAUCAUACGUCUCCUUGAAAAUACUCUUACAAAAUACUUGAUACAUUGCUUGCCAAACAAUCCUCUUCAAUACUUGUUACUUCUUCAGUAAUUUGACAGCAAAGUCAAUCGCCAAAAUAAUUCUGUUUUGUUUGAAUAAUUACUUGUGUUUGAAUGAUUAAUUGAAGUUUAUUCCUUAUAAUGCACAAGGUUUUUUCUCUUGGCAGUGGCACUGAUUUCUGUAAUGACCAUUAUGUAUUUAGUAAACUUACUGCCCUCAAUAAAAACUAAAGAUCUAUCUAUUUAAAAGAAAUUGUAGUUGUAGAGAGAAGUGAGAUUUUAUCUAUUAAUCUAUUUCUAUUAAAAUCUAUCCUCUAGACUGGCUGCUUGGCAGGGGCUAAGCUAAAGUUGCUUACUUUGCAAGUUGGUCAAUAUUGAGAAUGAAGAUGCACUAUCUUUCAAUUUUGGGUGCUGUAAGAUGCCACUUUGACACUCUAGAAAGUAAACUAAAGCUUUUACUUAGGAGAUACUUAGUGCCAUAAAUGCCCAUAAAGUGCUGUCCUGACUUAAGUUUUAGACUGAUUAACUAGACUCACAUUCAUGGGAGAUCAACAUAAAAUUUGCGAUUUUUUUCGUGUAUUUUGGAUAGGAAAAAAAGAGUGCAGAAGCCAGAAAAUACACUCACCCUGUUGUCUCCACGAGGCCCACAGGUAUGUUAGGGUUAGCUGAAAAAAAAUGGAAUCAAUCAAUAACUGAACAAGCACAAAAGAAAAGAAAAAACACCUGUUUAGAGAAGAAAUGAGAAAUAAAAAAGAUGUAGACCCUAAUUAUAAUGUGAGUAAGCAGAUACUAGGGAUACCUACUGGAACUGGAAGUAAGAAAUGUAUUUCUAGGGUAUUUUAAGGAGCUUUGAGAUCAUAUCUUGUGGAAAAAUAAUUAGUUACCCUGGCACCUGGUAUCUCAUAAUUAGGAAUGCUGACAUAGGCUUAAGUAUAAACUUAACUGUAUGCAUUCCUUAAAAGUCCUGCUCACUUAAGUAGAAUUUUAAGAAUGUUGCUAUAGGCGAUUUCUUAUCUUUGUGAGGUUGAUAAGAAUUCUUGAGGUGAACUUUCACAAGAAUAUGAAACGAAAAAGUGGAAAGACCUACCACCGCACUGAAGAAGCACUCGGAGGCACCUGGAAUUAUCAGAGGUUGCAGCUGCAUGAAGAGGAGUUCGCCUGAGUCUUGGCCGUCCAAAUGCUUCCUUUGACUCCUUUAACAGAUCUUCUAACAGCUCUGCAUUGUCCCUAGUGCUGCCUAGGGUUUAAUAAAGAAAAUACACCAGUAAUGAAAUAGUG
rnacentral:lncRNA from 1 species